AAAGCUUGCUUUCUUGCUGACGAGUGGCGGACGGGUGAGUAAUGCUUGGGAAUCUGGCUUAUGGAGGGGGAUAACGACGGGAAACUGUCGCUAAUACCGCGUAUUAUCGGAAGAUGAAAGUGCGGGACUGAGAGGCCGCAUGCCAUAGGAUGAGCCCAAGUGGGAUUAGGUAGUUGGUGGGGUAAAGGCCUACCAAGCCAGCGAUCUCUAGCUGGUCUGAGAGGAUGACCAGCCACACUGGAACUGAGACACGGUCCAGACUCCUACGGGAGGCAGCAGUGGGGAAUAUUGCGCAAUGGGGGGAACCCUGACGCAGCCAUGCCGCGUGAAUGAAGAAGGCCUUCGGGUUGUAAAGUUCUUUCGGUAUUGAGGAAGGUUGAUGUGUUAAUAGCACAUCAAAUUGACGUUAAAUACAGAAGAAGCACCGGCUAACUCCGUGCCAGCAGCCGCGGUAAUACGGAGGGUGCGAGCGUUAAUCGGAAUAACUGGGCGUAAAGGGCACGCAGGCGGUUAUUUAAGUGAGGUGUGAAAGCCCCGGGCUUAACCUGGGAAUUGCAUUUCAGACUGGGUAACUAGAGUACUUUAGGGAGGGGUAGAAUUCCACGUGUAGCGGUGAAAUGCGUAGAGAUGUGGAGGAAUACCGAAGGCGAAGGCAGCCCCUUGGGAAUGUACUGACGCUCAUGUGCGAAAGCGUGGGGAGCAAACAGGAUUAGAUACCCUGGUAGUCCACGCUGUAAACGCUGUCGAUUUGGGGGUUGGGGUUUAACUCUGGCGC
rnacentral:rRNA from 1 species